GACGAACGCUGGCGGCGUGCUUAACACAUGCAAGUCGAACGGAAAGGCCCUGCUUUUGUGGGGUGCUCGAGUGGCGAACGGGUGAGUAACACGUGAGUAACCUGCCCUUGACUUUGGGAUAACUUCAGGAAACUGGGGCUAAUACCGGAUAGGAGCUCCUGCUGCAUGGUGGGGGUUGGAAAGUUUCGGCGGUUGUGGAUGGUCUCGCGGCUUAUCGGCUUGUUGGUGGGGUAGUUGCUUACCAAGGCUGUGACGGGUAGCCGGCCUGAGAGGGUGACCGGCCACAUUGGGACUGAGAUACGGCGCAGACGCCUACGGGAGGCAGCAGUGGGGAAUAUGACACAAUGGGCGGAAGCCUGAUGCAGCAACGCCGCGUGCGGGAUGACGGCCUUCGGGUUGUAAACCGCUUUCGCAUGUGACGAAGCGUGAGUGACGGUAAUGGGUAAAGAAGCACCGGCUAACUACGUG
rnacentral:rRNA from 1 species